CCUAUAGGCCUUCUUGAUUACUCAUUCGUUCAUUCAUUUAGCAAAAAUUUCUGGGAUAUCUCUUCCAAUAGAAAUAUAGUGUAAGCCAAAAUGUGAGCCACACGUGUAGUUUAAAUUUUUUCUAGUAGCCGCAUUAAAAAAGGAAAAAGAAUCCAGUAAAAUUAAUGGCAAUAAUAUAUUCUAUUUAACCCAAUAUAUUCAAAAUAUUAUAUAUGUAAUCAAUAUAAAAAUUAUUGAUUUUUUUUCCCUACCUGUCUUCAAAAUCCAGUGUUUAUUUUAUGGUUACAGCACAUCUCAGUUUGGACCAGCCCCAUUUCAAGUGUUCAAUAACCACAUGUGGCUGUGCGUACCGUGUUGGACAGCACCGUUCCAGACACUUUUGCUGGACAUGCUGUGAAGAGCAAGGCAGAUGUCAUCCUCAGUUGCACACAGUUUAUUCUCCAACAGGGAAAGCAGCCGUUACACAGCUAAGACCUGCCUCUUGUGUCCUGGGAAUGGAGCAAAGCGUUGGGCAAAGAUCGACGAGACAGUCCCUGCCCUCGAGGAGCUCACAGCCAUUUCCACGUGUUCCUGUAAACAACAGCUGACAUUUACCCAGCACUUUCUCUGUGCUAGGCUCCGGGUAAAGUACUUUAUUACGCAUUUAUCUUUUAAAAUCUUCAGUGUAGUAUUGUAUGUUGGCUAUUAUUUUAUUCUCAUUUUACAGGUGAGGAAAUGGAGGCUUAAAGAAGUUAAAUGGCUCAAAAAUCCCAUAGCUGGUAAGUGUUGGCGUUGGGAUUCAAACCCAGGUCGGAGACGACGUUCUAAACCACUGUGCUGAAAGACCUCCCGAAUCUUGAGAGGCCCUGGGAUGACCUACUGCACGUUAUGCAACAUUAGAUAAAGUGUCAUCCUUAAAAUGAAUAACUAGCUAG
rnacentral:lncRNA from 1 species